UACGUAGGGGGCAAGCGUUGUCCGGAAUCAUUGGGCGUAAAGAGCGUGUAGGCGGUCCGGUCAGUCGGUUGUGAAAGUCAAGGGCUCAACCCUUGAAUGCCGGCCGAUACUGCCGGGCUAGAGUCCGGAAGAGGUGAGUGGAAUUCCUGGUGUAGCGGUGAAAUGCGCAGAUAUCAGGAGGAACACCGGUGGCGAAGGCGGCAUCCUGGACCAACACUGACACUGAGGAGCGAAAGCCAGGGGAGCAAACGGG
rnacentral:rRNA from 1 species